GACGAACGCUGGCGGCGUGCUUAACACAUGCAAGUCGAACGGAAAGGCCCUGCUUUUGUGGGGUGCUCGAGUGGCGAACGGGUGAGUAACACGUGAGUAACCUGCCCUUUACUUUGUGAUAACUUCAUGAAACUGGGGCUAAUACCGGAUAGGAGCUCCUGCUGCAUGGUGUGGGUUGGAAAUUUUCGGCGGUUGUGGAUGGACUCGCGGCUUAUCAGCUUGUUUGUGGGGUAGUGGCUUACCAAGGCUUUGACGGGUAGCCGGCCUGUGAGGGUGACCGGCCACAUUGGGACUGAGAUACGGCACAGACUCCUACGGGAGGCAGCAGUGGGGAAUAUUGCACAAUGGGCGGAAGCCUGAUGCAGCAACGCAGCGUGCGGGAUGACGGCCUUCGGGUUGUAAACCGCUUUCGCCUGUGACGAAGCGUGAGUGACGGUAAUGGGUAAAGAAGCACCGGCUAACUACGUG
rnacentral:rRNA from 1 species